GCGCACCAGUCGCGAAAACUCCGCAAUACGCGAAAGCGUGACGGGGCUACCCCGAGUGUCGUCCGCUGAGGACGACUUUUCCACGCUGUAAGGAGGCGUGGGAAUAAGGAGAGGGCAAGUCUGGUGUCAGCCGCCGCGGUAAUACCAGCUCUCCGAGUGGUAGGGACGAUUAUUGGGCUUAAAGCGUCCGUAGCCGGCUCAGCAAGUCUCCCGUUAAAUCCAACGAUUCAAUCGUUGGACUGCGGGAGAUACUGUUAGGCUAGGGGGCGGGAGAAGCCGACGGUAUUUCCGGGGUAGGGGUAAAAUCCUAUAAUCCCGGGAAGACCACCAGUGGCGUAGGCGGUCGGCUAGCACGCGCUCGACAGUGAGGGACGAAAGCUGGGGUAGCGAACCGGAUUAGAUACCCGGGUAGUCC
rnacentral:rRNA from 1 species